rnacentral:misc_RNA from 1 species
UAUUGAUAUUAGGCAUAAGCCAAUUCCAUUUCGGUUUCAGGGGUAAAAAAGGGAGGAAUUUGUUCUCACAUGUAUUUACGAGAUCAAUAACUUUGGUACAACCUCCAAAAUGGAUCAAUCCUAGCCGUUGAUUAGAUUCUAAUCAAAUCCCCACCCUUAAAACAAACACACUUUUUCACCGAAAUUGAAAAAAGAAAAGAAAGGAGAAUCAAACGAUCACCAAUUACUUAUCAACAUCUAUGCUGCUGUUCCAUCAUAAUACAGAAGUCCUCGAAGCAUACAAACCCAUCACCAUUUUUAUCCACACCUCUUAUCAUACGCCGGCACUCCUCUAACGUGCACCGUGAAUCUCCGAUCUGCCUAAACACGCUAAACAGCUCAUCCGCCGUGAUCUUCCCGUCGUGA